UACGGAGGGUGCAAGCGUUAUCCGGAUUCACUGGGUUUAAAGGGUGCGUAGGUGGAUUAGUAAGUCAGUGGUGAAAUCUCCAGGCUUAACCCGGAAACUGCCAUUGAUACUAUUAGUCUUGAAUACCGUGGAGGUCAGCGGAAUAUGUCAUGUAGCGGUGAAAUGCUUAGAUAUGACAUAGAACACCAAUUGCGAAGGCAGCUGGCUACACGAGCAUUGACACUCAGGCACGAAAGCGUGGGGAUCAAACAGG
rnacentral:rRNA from 1 species